CCUACGGGAGACAGCAGUGAGGAAUAUUGGUCAAUGGACGAGAGUCUGAACCAGCCAAGUAGCGUGAAGGAUGACUGCCCUAUGGGUUGUAAACUUCUUUUAUAUGGGAAUAAAACGUUCCACGUGUGGGAUUUUGUAUGUACCAUAUGAAUAAGGAUCGGCUAACUACGUGCCAGCAGCCGCGGUAAUACGGAGGAUCCGAGCGUUAUCCGGAUUUAUUGGGUUUAAAGGGAGCGUAGGUGGAUUGUUAAGUCAGUUGUGAAAGUUUGCGGCUCAACCGUAAAAUUGCAGUUGAAACUGGCAGUCUUGAGUACAGUAGAGGUGGGCGGAAUUCGUGGUGUAGCGGUGAAAUGCUUAGAUAUCACGAAGAACUCCGAUUGCGAAGGCAGUUCACUGGACUGCAACUGACACUGAGGCUCGAAAGUGUGGGUAUCAAACAGGAUUAGAUACCCUGGUAGUC
rnacentral:rRNA from 1 species